UUCUAUGGCCAUACCACCCUAAACACUCCUGAUGUUGUCUAAUCUCAGAAGCUAAGCAAAGUCAGGCCUGGUUAGCACUUGAAUGGGAGAUGGGAUCUGAGUUCUUUAAGGCAUCUAAU
rnacentral:rRNA from 1 species